rnacentral:lncRNA from 1 species
ACAUUGCAGAUGCUAAAGAGGCCGAGAUAGUAAAAGGAGAAAGGGUCCAAGAAUCGGCAAAGCCCAAAGAGAGGCGAAAGGGAGCCCAGCGACCCCCGCUUCGCCCAAAGCAGCCGGAACAAUCUUUCCCCGAGAAUUUCUUGGCAGAGGCGGCGGCGGCGAACUCGCCGGGGAGAAGCGCAAGCGGGAGGAGAAGGAGGCCACUGGAGAUGCACCCACUUCAUCGGAUACCGCCAAAAGCGGCGGCUUUUCCCAGCACUCGAUGUGGAAGACGAGCCUAUGCUCCUCCUGCUUCCAUCUGAUUUCCCACCACUGGAUAGGCAAGUUUUGCAUUCCCCACUUUUCAUCUGAUUCUGCUCUUCAGUUUUUCCGAUUGUUUCCUAACUGUUAUCAAAUCUUUUCUCUCGCAAGUCCCUCCAACUGAUAACUGAUGGUAUCUAACUUAUCUUCUGCAAGGAAGGUAUCUAAUUCUCGGUAUUUGAGAUGAAAAUUCCUACAACCGUUCUAAACAAUCCUACUACAAGAACUUCUCGAGACCAUAAAUCAAGUUCUGCGAAUGAAACAAUUUUUCUUUAGUGAAAAGCCAUUAUAUCAUCUACUGCACUACACAACAUAAUUACCUUCAAGCGUACCACCUUCCGUAUUGCCAGAAUUAGUCCUGGCAUCAGGCAUUGAACAUUUGUCACAUCAUGUCUUAAGGUGUAAAUCUGAAAAUGUUGGUGACUGGUCAGUUGAACAGUUAAAAUCGGUGCCCAGUCCAGCCAUGUUUCAAGCAAACAUAUUAUUGAUACCUCUCCAGGGCCUGAGAAGUUGAUUGAUGUGCUGGAAGCAAGGCCUGGUAGAACCAUACUGUGGACACGCACCCCAUCUUCUCCAAGUAUCUGACCCCUUGCCUUUUCCAAAACAUUUGUCCAUUAGUUUUGUGAAACAGUAUUGUGCAGCUGUAAGCUGUUAUAGAGGUGAAAACUGAUUCCAGUUUGUACUUUCACUGUUUUAUAAUGAACUGAACAGACUACAAUAUCCGUUUCUGUAUCAUUAGAUAGAUAGUGAUGCAAAAUAUUUCCCUCACAACUUACUGGAUUAUCAGAGAUCUUCCCUGUUGUAUAUCUGACCAAGAUCUGAUAUAUUAUUUGCAAUCUGUAUUGCAUCUUGUGAUGGCAAAUCCUGCCAGGCUGCCAAUUUCAACCAUUGAUGUCUAUCAGUCUUUGUACACCUGAGUAUUUGUCUAGUAUGUAUUGACUACUGACAAGAGUGCUUCUAAUGCUGAUAGUUGUUGUUGAGUUUUUUCUUUGGCAUUUGAUUGAUUGUUAGAAUAUACAAUGUUUAUUGCACAUGAUGUUCUGUAUCUGAUGGUUUUGGAAGGCAUACUUGUAUGGUGAAUUAAGAGUUACUACAUGGAAAAGCCCAUUACUGAUGGGUUAGGUCUUGAUUCCACUAUCUCGACGCUAUUGUAGUGGAAUGAGGCCUGGAUAGCAGCUUGUUGUAGGAGCACUGAGCCAAUUGACAAUGUUGGCGCUACCAAGCAACCUUGAUCAUGAAAUCAGCACAAGUCAUGCUAAAAUGAUGUUAAAAUGGUAAAUACAUGAUAAUUGCAAUAAUGAUGUAUAGUAUUACCAUGCUUGCCUUCUCGCAGAAUGCUGACAGCUCAGUUACUGUAUCUAACUCAAUGUUUGGAACGUACACCACACUGUUUAAACCAAAUGCCGCUGCCUGUUUAUGAACCAUGUUUGUGUCGAUAAAAACAAUUAGAUUUCAGAAGAUUGUACAGAAUCUGAAUGGCAUUAUACUUCUUUAUCAAUGUUGUGCAGUGUGAUUACUGAAUUAGAGGGCACUCAUGUGGUCCUGGUGACUAGUAUUGGUUAGUUCAUUGAAUGUGAACUGUGACCUUUUUCUGUUAUUUGGUUACAAAGCAAAUAAUUCUUUUACUCGUAUAAACUCAUGAAUUGAUAAUAAUGUAACCUUUUAGAGUAAUAAGGUUAUACUUGGUACAAGAUUUAGUUAUACUGCCCUGAUGCUUCCCAUUGAAUGGAUCAAACUGGUUUGUAUUUUGUAUAAUCCUGUACCUCACAAUCCCACUUUACAAUGUAACUUAGUUUUUUUCCCCAUAUUGUAGGUGGAUAGCUUACCUGUUUGACAUUGUCAUAAACAGUUGAAGGUUCACUGAAAUCAACCACCACUCCAGUUGCUCUCGACUGAAAGAACAUAAGUUUCCAUUAGCAAACUGUG